UACGGAGGGUGCAAGCGUUAAUCGGAAUUACUGGGCGUAAAGCGCACGCAGGUGGCUGAGUCAGUCGAUUGUGAAAGCCCUGGGCUUAACCUGGGAAUUGCAGUCGAUACUACUUAGCUAGAGUAUGGGAGAGGGCAGUGGAAUUCCCGGUGUAGCGGUGAAAUGCGUAGAUAUCGGGAGGAACAUCAGUGGCGAAGGCGGCUACCUGGCCCAAUACUGACACUCAGGUGCGACAGCGUGGGGAGCAAACAGG
rnacentral:rRNA from 1 species